rnacentral:rRNA from 1 species
UACGUAGGGGGCGAGCGUUACCCGGAAUUACUGGGCGUAAAGCGUGCGCAGGCGGCUCGUUAAGUCAGAUGUGAAAGCCCCGGGCUCAACCUGGGAACUGCAUUUGAAACUGGCGGGCUUGAGUAUGGCAGAGGGGGGUGGAAUUCCGCGUGUAGCAGUGAAAUGCGUAGAGAUGCGGAGGAACACCGAUGGCGAAGGCAGCCCCCUGGGCCAAUACUGACGCUCAGGCACGAAAGCGUGGGGAGCAAACAGG